rnacentral:rRNA from 1 species
ACAUUGGAACUGAGAAACGGUCCAAACUCCUACGGGAGGCAGCAGUGGGGAAUAUUGCACAAUGGGGGAAACCCUGAUGCAGCGACGCCGCGUGAGCGAUGAAGGCUUUCGAGUCGUAAAGCUCUGUCCUAUGGGAAGAUAAUGACGGUACCAUAGAAGAAAGCCCCGGCUAAUUACGUGCCAGCAGCCGCGGUAAUACGUAAGGGGCGAGCGUUGUCCGGAAUUAUUGGGCGUAAAGAGUGCGUAGGCGGCAAAUUAAGUCAGAUGUGAAAACUAAGGGCUCAACCCAUAGAUUGCAUCUGAAACUGAUAUGCUUGAGUCAAGGAGAGGAAAGUGGAAUUCCUAGUGUAGCGGUGGAAUGCGUAGAUAUUAGGAGGAAUACCGGUGGCGAAGGCGACUUUCUGGACUUGAACUGACGCUGAGGCACGAAAGCGUGGGGAGCAAACAGGAUUAGAUACCCUGGUAGUCCACGCCGUAAACGAUGAGUGCUAGGUGUCUAUUCAUAAGAGUAGGUGCCGUACGUUAACACAUUAAGCACUCCGCCUGGGGAGUACGUACGCAAGUAUGAAACUCAAAGGAAUUGACGGGGACCCGCACAAGCAGCGGAGCAUGUGGUUUAAUUCGAGGCUACGCGAAGAACCUUACCAGGACUUGACAUACCAAGGAAAGUUUUUAGAGAUAAAAACCCUAGAUUUAUCUACCUUGGAUACAGGUGGUGCAUGGUUGUCGUCAGCUCGUGUCGUGAGAUGUUGGGUUAAGUCCCGCAACGAGCGCAACCCUUACAUUUAGUUACUAACAGGUAGUGCUGAGGACUCUAGAUGGACUGCCGAUGACAAAUCGGAGGAAGGUGGGGAUGACGUCAAAUCAUCAUGCCCUUUAUGUCCUGGGCUACACACGUGCUACAAUGGUCGGUACAAAGAGAAGCUAAAUAGCGAUAUCAAGCAAACCUCAAAAAACCGAUCCCAGUUCGGAUUGAUCUCUGCAACUCGAGAUCAUGAAGCCGGAGUUGCUAGUAAUCGCAGAUCAGAAUGCUGCGGUGAAUGCGUUCCCGGGUCUUGUACACACCGCCCGUCACACCAUGGGAGUAGGCAAUACCCGAAGCCUGUGAGCUAACCAUUUGGAGGCAGCAGUCGAAGGUAGGGUCAAUGACUGGGGUGAAGUCGUAACAAGGUAGCCGUAUCGGAAGGUGCGGCUG